rnacentral:rRNA from 1 species
AUUGACCGUACAAGGUAGCAUAAUCCAUUGUCUUUUAAUUAAAGGCUAGAAUGAAUGGUUGGAUGAGGUAUCAACUAUUUUUAUUUUAAUAAAAAUGAAUUUUAAUUUUUAGUAAAAAUGCUAAAAUAAAAAAAUUAGACGAGAAGACCCUAUAAAUCUUUAUUUUUAAAAAAUAAUAUUAAUUUUGUAAAUUUUUAAUUAGUUAUUUUUCAAAAAUUUUAUUGGGAGGAUAAUGAAAUUUAAUAAACUUUUAUUUUAUUUUAUAAAUAUAAUUAAAUUAAUGAAUAUAUUAAAAUGUUUAAAAAAUUAAGUUACUUUAGGGAUAACAGCGUAAUUAUUUUAAAGAGUUCUUAUCGAUAAAAUAGUUUGCGACCUCGAUGUUCAAUUCUAUUAGUGUAAAAUAGGUGUAGCUACGUCUCCAAUUU